rnacentral:piRNA from 1 species
UGCAAGGUGCAGUGUUGGG